CUACCAUGGCAGUCACGGGUAACGGAGAAUUAGGGUUCGAUUCCGGAGAAGGAGCCUGAGAAACGGCUACUACAUCUACGGAUGGCAGCAGGCGCGUAAAUUACCCAAUCCUAAAUCAGGGAGGUAGUGACAAGAUAUAACAACGCGAUUCAAUAUCGCGAUUGUAGUGAGGGUAUUCUUAAAAUAGCUUCGAGUACGAUUGGAGGGCAAGUCUGGUGCCAGCAGCCGCGGUAAUUCCAGCUCCAAUAGCAUAUAUUAAAGUUGUUGCAGUUAAAAAGCUCGUAGUUGGAUUUCAAGAUACGCAUCUGGGCAACCAGUAUGCUAUCUACCAGUCUUUGACUGUUACUGUGAGAAAAUCAGAGUGUUUCAAGCAGGCAAUUGCAGGAAUAUAUUAGCAUGGAAUAACGAAUGUGUUUACAAUUUGGUUGAUUGUAAGCUACGGUUAUUAGGGACAGUUGGGGGCAUUAGUAUUUAAUUGUCAGAGGUGAAAUUCUUGGAUUAGUUAAAGACUAACGUAUGCGAAAGCAUUUGCCAAGGAUGUUUUCAUUAAUCAAGAACGAAAGAUUGGGGAUC
rnacentral:rRNA from 1 species